rnacentral:rRNA from 1 species
AUUGAACGCUGGCGGCAGGCCUAACACAUGCAAGUCGAGCGGGGCGGCGGACGGGCGAGUAAUGACUAGGAAUCUGCCUGGUAGUGGGGGAUGACGUCCGGCAGCGGGCGCUAAUACAUCCUACUAUCAGUUGGACCUAGAUCGGAUUAGCUAGUUGGUAGGGUAAGGGCCUACCAAGGCGACGAUCCGUAACUGGUCUGAGAGGAUGAUCAGUCACACUGGGACUGAGACACGGUCCAGACUCCUACGGGAGGCAGCAGUGGGGAAUAUUGGACAAUGGGCGAAAGCCUGAUGCAGCCAUGCCGCGUGUGUGAAGAAGGCCUUCGGGUUGUAAAGCACUUUAAGUUGGGAGGCGUUACCGACAGAAGAAGCACCGGCUAACUCCGUGCCAGCAGCCGCGGUAAUUC